rnacentral:lncRNA from 1 species
AGGUGCAUCGAUAGUUCACCUUGAGUGUGUUAUAGUUUAACUACACCAUAACUCGAUCUCCUAGCCAUUCAAAAUCCUGAGGUGUAUGUUGGCUGUAGCAUAUUCAUUAUAGGAACCAGAUUGCACCAAGAUGGGAUCUAUCAACCUCGAUAGAUAAGAGGAGUAGUCCUAUGAUGAUCGAAAGAUUGAGUCCUUAAGCCUAUGGCCAUGGUAGAGUGAAAUAAUGAAAAA